AUUUAUGAAUAUUCUCAUAAGAAGGAAAGGACAAGAAAAUGGGACCUAUGCUUCCAACAAGUCCCUAACCCAGCUGAAACAAUAUCAAGCCAUCAGUACCAUCUAACCCAAAAACAGGAC
rnacentral:rRNA from 1 species